CUGUUGUUUUGAAAUUCUGGUGUAAAUUCUUUAAAAUCCAAAAGACGUGCUGCAGCCCCUGGACUCAGUCCACAUCUACCUGACCAUGCAAAGUCCUCCAGCUGAUCAUGACCUCCUGCCAACCGCUCUGCAGGGAAAGAUCAGGGACAUGGAGGGGAGGAAGAGGAAGCUCACCUAAGGAUCUCCCUGGUUGUAUUUCAGAAUAUCCACGGGCAAAUUUACCAGUUCAGAACCACUGUGGUGAAGGUCAAGUGCCCUGAGGAGCAGAAAAGAGUGACUCUCAAAGAUUGUGAAAUAAUUCCUGGAUCACCGAAAUAUUUGUGCAACUUGGAAAUGGUCACCAUCCCUGCUUUCAAGAUCCAUAACAUAAAUAUACUAGGUUGCAAGGAGCUCCCGACCAGCACAAGCUCUCCUGUCAGCUCAGUCGAAGGAAACGAAAGAGAAGAA